rnacentral:rRNA from 1 species
CCUACGGGGGGCUGCAGUCGAGAAACAUUCACAAUGGGGGAAACCCUGAUGGUGCGACGCCGCGUGGGGGAAUGAAGGUCUUCGGAUUGUAAACCCCUGUCAUGUGGGAGCAAAUUAAAAAGAUAGUACCACAAGAGGAAGAGACGGCUAACUCUGUGCCAGCAGCCGCGGUAAUACAGAGGUCUCAAGCGUUGUUCGGAAUCACUGGGCGUAAGGCGUGCGUAGGCUGUUUCGUAAGUCGUGUGUGAAAGGCGCGGGCUCAACCCGCGGACGGCACAUGAUACUGCGAGACUAGAGUAAUGGAGGGGGAACCGGAAUGCUCGGUGUAGCAGUGAAAUGCGUAGAUAUCGAGAGGAACACUCGUGGCGAAGGCGGGUUCCUGGACAUUAACUGACGCUGAGGCACGAAGGCCAGGGGAGCGAAAGGGAUUAGAUACCCUAGUAGUC